AACGCUGGCGGCGCGCCUAACACAUGCAAGUCGAGCGAGAAAGCCCGGCAACGGGUGAGUACAGCGGCGUACGGGUGAGUAACACGUGGGUGAUCUACCUCCUUGUGGGGAAUAACCCUGGGAAACCGGGGCUAAUACCGCAUAAGCCCGAGAGGGGAAAGCAGCAAUGCGCUGGGAGAGGAGCCCGCGGCCGAUUAGUUGGAUGGCAGGGUAAAGGCCUACCAUGACUGAGAUCGGUAGCCGGCCUGAGAGGGCACACGGCCACACUGGCACUGAAACACGGGCCAGACUCCUACGGGAGGCAGCAGUGGGGAAUCUUGCACAAUGGGGGAAACCCUGAUGCAGCGACGCCGCGUGAGCGAUGAAGCCCUUCGGGGUGUAAAGCUCUUUCGGCAGGGAAGAUUAUGACGGUACCUGCAGAAGCAGCUGCGGCUAACUACGUGCCAGCAGCCGCGGUAAUACGUAGGCAGCAAGCGUUGUUCGGAGUUACUGGGCGUAAAGGGUGUGUAGGCGGUUUUCUAAGUCUGGUGUGAAAUCUCCCGGCUCAACUGGGAGGGUGCGCCGAAAACUGGAAGGCUAGAGUACUGGAUGGGUAAGUGGAAUUCCUGGUGUAGCGGUGAAAUGCGUAGAUAUCAGGAGGAACACCUGUGGUGUAGACGGCUUACUGGACAGUAACUGACGCUGAGACACGAAAGCGUGGGUAGCAAACAG
rnacentral:rRNA from 1 species